UACGUAGGGGGCUAGCGUUGUCCGGAUUUAUUGGGCGUAAAGAGCGUGUAGGCGGCCAGGUAGGUCUGCUGUGAAAACUCGAGGCUCAACCUCGAGACGUCGGCGGAAACCAUCUGGCUAGAGUCCGGAAGAGGAGAGUGGAAUUCCUGGUGUAGCGGUGAAAUGCGCAGAUAUCAGGAAGAACACCCGUGGCGAAGGCGGCUCUCUGGGACGGUACUGACACUGAGGUGCGAAAGCGUGGGGAGCAAACAGG
rnacentral:rRNA from 1 species